GACGAACGCUGGCGGCGUGCUUAACACAUGCAAGUCGAACGAAGUGGCGAACGGGUGAGUAACGCGUAAUCAACCUGCCCUUCAGAGGGGGACAACAGUUGGAAACGACUGCUAAUACCGCAUACUGAAGGAGGGGAUUGAGUCGGAUUAGCUCGUGGGAGGGGGAAGGGCCCACCAAGGCGAUGAUCAGUAGCGGGUCGGAGAGGAUGAACGGCCACAUUGGGACUGAGACACGGGCCAGACUCCUGCGGGAGGCAGCAGUGGGGAAGCGUCCGCAAUGGACGAAAGUCUGACGGAGCAACGCCGCGUGAGUGAUGACGGCCUUCGGGUUGGAAAGCUCUGUUAAUCGGGGCGCGGUACCGGAAUAGAAAGCCACGGCUAACUACGUGCCAGCAGCCGCGGUAAUUC
rnacentral:rRNA from 1 species